GCGGGCGUAGCUCAGUUGGUAGAGCAUCAGCUUCCCAAGCUGAGGGUCGCCAGUUCGAACCUGGUCGCCCGCU
rnacentral:tRNA from 1 species